rnacentral:rRNA from 1 species
GACGAACGCUGGCGGCGUGCUUAACACAUGCAAGUCGAACGGUAAGGCCCUUCGGGGUACACGAGUGGCGAACGGGUGAGUAACACGUGGGUGAUCUGCCCUGCACUUCGGGAUAAGCAUGGGAAACUGGGUCUAAUACCGGAUAGGACCACUGCCUGCAUGGGUGGUGGUGGAAAGCUUUUGCGGUGUGGGGUGGGCCCGCGGCCUAUCAGCUUGUUGGUGGGGUGAUGGCCUACCAAGGCGACGACGGGUAGCCGGCCUGAGAGGGUGACCGGCCACACUGGGACUGAGAUACGGCCCAGACUCCUACGGGAGGCAGCAGUGGGGAAUAUUGCACAAUGGGCGCAAGCCUGAUGCAGCGACGCCGCGUGAGGGAUGACGGCCUUCGGGUUGUAAACCUCUUUCAGCACCGACGAAGCGCAAGUGACGGUAGGUGCAGAAGAAGGACCGGCCAACUACGUGCCAGCCGCCGCAGUAA